rnacentral:pre_miRNA from 13 species
UGCUUUGGUAAGACAGCUGUAUGAGUUGUAUUACGCCAUAAAGCUAAAUUACCAAAGCA